GAUGAACGCUAGCGGGAGGCCUAACACAUGCAAGCCGAGCGGUAUUGUUUCUUCGGAAAUGAGAGAGCGGCGUACGGGUGCGUAACACGUGUGCAACCUGCCUUUAUCUGGGGGAUAGUCUUUCGAAAGGAAGAUUAAUACUCCAUAAUAUAUUGAACGGCAUCGUUUAAUAUUGAAAGCUCCGGCGGAUAGAGAUGGGCACGCGCAAGAUUAGCUAGUUGGUGAGGUAACGGCUCACCAAGGCGAUGAUCUUUAGGGGGCCUGAGAGGGUGAUCCCCCACACUGGUACUGAGACACGGACCAGACUCCUACGGGAGGCAGCAGUGAGGAAUAUUGGUCAAUGGGUGCAAGCCUGAACCAGCCAUCCCGCGUGAAGGACGACUGCCCUAUGGGUUGUAAACUUCUUUUGUAUAGGGAUAAACCUACCCUCGAGAGGGUAGCUGAAGGUACUAUACGAAUAAGCACCGGCUAACUCCGUG
rnacentral:rRNA from 1 species